rnacentral:lncRNA from 10 species
GAGCCCGCGGUGGGGGUCCCCGCGCCGCCCAGGCCUACCCCGGCUCCUUGGGAUAGAUGGGGAAGCUGAGGCCCAGAAGGGGGCUGAGACCACCUCCCAGUUUCCCCAGUGAGGUGGCGCCUGAGCCACGGCCAGGCCCGGCCUCCUUCCACCCGGCCCUGCUGUGCGCGCGGCGGGUGCUGACCUGGCGAGGCCGGACAGGGGACCAGGUCGGGGUGACCGUCACUGACACCUGGACAGUCCUCGUUGUGUUCGGGGUGGGAAGCCCACGGGGAAGAGUGUAUCACAGCCAUUGGGAACUUUCUUCACCCAUCAAAGCCUCAGGGCUGAAGCAUCCUGAACAAGAACUCAGGAGAGUGAAAGAAACAGUUACCUGUCGGCUGCAGCUGGUACCAGCUCCCCACCCCGUACAGAGACCGAAGCGUCCUCUCUCUCCCCAUCACCCAGCACCAGACUCUGCCCCGCGACCUCAGCCUGCACCUGCUUCCUGGCUCCAUCCAGCCUUCCAGCCUCACUAGAUCAUCAUGGGCCACUGGCCAACACACAGGGCAGUGCCGAGCCCAGGCCGUGGUCACACAUGGCUGGGUUAGUAGCUGAAAACAUUGUUUUUCACUGGCCUCACAGUAAUGGCACCUGCCCCCAUUUUCUGUGAUUGAAUUUUUGGAUCCUGCUACCAGGUUAUGAUAGAUUUUAUGGUAUGUCUCAAGAUAUUGAGAUAAAGGUAAUAAAACAGCUAUAAAGUCCUGGCUCAAGAAGUGUUACAAACCCAAGCAGGGUAAAUACAAGAAAACUGCACCCAGACACAACAUAGUAAAAUUGCUGAAAACCAAAGAUGAAUAGAACACUUAACAGUUGGAGGAAAAAAGCCACAUUACCUUCAUAAGGACACCAAUCACACUAACAUCUGACUUCGAAAUAGAAAUAUAAAAGCCAAACUACAAGGGAAUGUGAUCUUCAAAAUAUUGAAAGAAUUUAAUUGUUAAGUGAAAUAAUUAACUGCCAACCUAAAUUCUAUUCCUAGUGGAAAUACUCUCCA